AACGAACGCUGGCGGCAGGCUUAACACAUGCAAGUCGAACGCAUCCUUCGGGGUGAGUGGCAGACGGGUGAGUAACGCGUGGGAACGUGCCCUUCAGUUCGGGAUAACCCAGGGAAACUUGGGCUAAUACCGGAUACGUGCGAGAGCAGAAAGAUUUAUCGCUGAAGGAUCGGCCCGCGUCUGAUUAGCUAGUUGGUGGGGUAAUGGCCCACCAAGGCGACGAGCAGUAGCUGGUCUGGGAGGAUGAUCAGCCACAUUGGGACUGAGACACGGCCCAAACUCCUACGGGAGGCAGGAGUGGGGAAUAUUGGACAAUGGGCGCAAGCCUGAUCCAGCCAUGCCGCGUGAGUGAUGAAGGCCUUAGGGUUGUAAAGCCCUUUCGGCGGGGAAGAUAAUGACGGUACCCGCAGAAGAAGCCCCGGCUAACUUCGUGCCAGCCGCCGCAGUAA
rnacentral:rRNA from 1 species